rnacentral:rRNA from 1 species
AGAGCGAACGCUGGCGGCAGGCCUAACACAUGCAAGUCGAGCGCCCGUAGCAAUACGGGAGCGGCAGACGGGAGAGUAACACGUGGGAACGCGCCCUUCGGUUCGGAAUAACUCAGGGAAACUUGAGCUAAUACCGGAUACGCCCUUACGGGGAAAGAUUUAUUGCCGAAGGAACGGCCCGCGUCCGAUUAGCUAGUUGGUGAGGUAAUGGCUCACCAAGGCGACGAUCGGUAGCUGGUCUGAGAGGAUGACCAGCCUCACUGGGACUGAGACACGGCCCAGACUCCUACGGGAGGCAGCAGUGGGGAAUAUUGGACAAUGGGCGCAAGCCUGAUCCAGCCAUGCCGCGUGGAUGAUGAAGGCCUUAGGGUUGUAAAGUCCUUUUAACGGGAAGAUAAUGACGGUACCGUAGAAUAAGCCCCGGCUAACUUCGCGCCAGCAGCCGC